CCCGACUUACCAACCCGAUGCAAACUGCGAAUACCGGAGAAUGUUAUCACGGGAGACACACGGCGGGUGCUAACGUCCGUCGUGAAGAGGGAAACAACCCAGACCGCCAGCUAAGGUCCCAAAGUCAUGGUUAAGUGGGAAACGAUGUGGGAAGGCCCAGACAGCCAGGAUGUUGGCUUAGAAGCAGCCAUCAUUUAAAGAAAGCGUAAUAGCUCACUGGUCGAGUCGGCCUGCGCGGAAGAUGUAACGGGGCUAAACCAUGCACCGAAGCUGCGGCAGCGACGCUUAUGCGUUGUUGGGUAGGGGAGCGUUCUGUAAGCCUGCGAAGGUGUGCUGUGAGGCAUGCUGGAGGUAUCAGAAGUGCGAAUGCUGACAUAAGUAACGAUAAAGCGGGUGAAAAGCCCGCUCGCCGGAAGACCAAGGGUUCCUGUCCAACGUUAAUCGGGGCAGGGUGAGUCGACCCCUAAGGCGAGGCCGAAAGGCGUAGUCGAUGGGAAACAGGUUAAUAUUCCUGUACUUGGUGUUACUGCGAAGGGGGGACGGAGAAGGCUAUGUUGGCCGGGCGACGGUUGUCCCGGUUUAAGCGUGUAGGCUGGUUUUCCAGGCAAAUCCGGAAAAUCAAGGCUGAGGCGUGAUGACGAGGCACUACGGUGCUGAAGCAACAAAUGCCCUGCUUCCAGGAAAAGCCUCUAAGCAUCAGGUAACAUCAAAUCGUACCCCAAACCGACACAGGUGGUCAGGUAGAGAAUACCAAGGCGCUUGAGAGAACUCGGGUGAAGGAACUAGGCAAAAUGGUGCCGUAACUUCGGGAGAAGGCACGCUGAUAUGUAGGUGAAGUCCCUUGCGGAUGGAGCUGAAAUCAGUCGAAGAUACCAGCUGGCUGCAACUGUUUAUUAAAAACACAGCACUGUGCAAACACGAAAGUGGACGUAUACGGUGUGACGCCUGCCCGGUGCCGGAAGGUUAAUUGAUGGGGUCAGCGCAAGCGAAGCUCUUGAUCGAAGCCCCGGUAAACGGCGGCCGUAACUAUAACGGUCCUAAGGUAGCGAAAUUCCUUGUCGGGUAAGUUCCGACCUGCACGAAUGGCGUAAUGAUGGCCAGGCUGUCUCCACCCGAGACUCAGUGAAAUUGAACUCGCUGUGAAGAUGCAGUGUACCCGCGGCAAGACGGAAAGACCCCGUGAACCUUUACUAUAGCUUGACACUGAACAUUGAGCCUUGAUGUGUAGGAUAGGUGGGAGGCUUUGAAGUGUGGACGCCAGUCUGCAUGGAGCCGGCCUUGAAAUACCACCCUUUAAUGUUUGAUGUUCUAACGUGGACCCGUGAUCCGGGUUGCGGACAGUGUCUGGUGGGUAGUUUGACUGGGGCGGUCUCCUCCUAAAGAGUAACGGAGGAGCACGAAGGUUGGCUAAUCCUGGUCGGACAUCAGGAGGUUAGUGCAAUGGCAUAAGCCAGCUUGACUGCGAGCGUGACGGCGCGAGCAGGUGCGAAAGCAGGUCAUAGUGAUCCGGUGGUUCUGAAUGGAAGGGCCAUCGCUCAACGGAUAAAAGGUACUCCGGGGAUAACAGGCUGAUACCGCCCAAGAGUUCAUAUCGACGGCGGUGUUUGGCACCUCGAUGUCGGCUCAUCACAUCCUGGGGCUGAAGUAGGUCCCAAGGGUAUGGCUGUUCGCCAUUUAAAGUGGUACGCGAGCUGGGUUUAGAACGUCGUGAGACAGUUCGGUCCCUAUCUGCCGUGGGCGCUGGAGAACUGAGGGGGGCUGCUCCUAGUACGAGAGGACCGGAGUGGACGCAUCACUGGUGUUCGGGUUGUCAUGCCAAUGGCACUGCCCGGUAGCUAAAUGCGGAAGAGAUAAGUGCUGAAAGCAUCUAAGCACGAAACUUGCCCCGAGAUGAGUUCUCCCUGACCCUUUAAGGGUCCUGAAGGAACGUUGAAGACGACGACGUUGAUAGGCCGGGUGUGUAAGCGCAGCGAUGCGUUGAGCUAACCGGUACUAAUGAACCGUGAGG
rnacentral:rRNA from 1 species